rnacentral:rRNA from 1 species
UUUAUGGAGAGUUUGAUCCUGGCUCAGGAUGAACGCUGGCGGCGUGCCUAAUACAUGCAAGUCGAGCGAACGGACGAGAAGCUUGCUUCUCUGAUGUUAGCGGCGGACGGGGGAGGAACACGUGGAUAACCUACCUAUAAGACUGGGAUAACUUCGGGAAACCGGAGCUAAUACCGGAUAAUAUUUUGAACCGCAUGGUUCAAAAGUGAAAGACGGUCUUGCUGUCACUUAUAGAUGGA